rnacentral:rRNA from 1 species
UUAAAGAGCCGCAGUAUUUUGACUGUGCAAAGGUAGCAUAAUCAUUAGUAUAUUAAUUGUAUUCUAGAAUGAAAGGUUUGACGAGGGGUAUACUGUCUCUUAAUAAUGAUUAGAAGUUUACUUUCUAGUAAGAAGGCUUGAAUUUAUUUUUUGGACGAUAAGACCCUAUAGAACUUUAUUUAUUAAAUUUAAAUUUUUUGGGUUAGUUUUAUGGAUUUAUUUUUUAUUAAUUUUGGUUGGGGCGAUUUGAAUAAUAUAUAAACUGUUCAUUUUGAUUUUCAUUUAUUUAUGUUAUUGAUGAUCUUGUAUUAUUGAUUUAAAGAUUAAGUUACCUUAGGGAUAACAGCACAAUUAUCUUUGAGAGUUCAUAUUGACAAGAUUAGUUUGUGACCUCGAUGUUGGAUUAAGGUUAUUAAUUGGGUGAAGGAGCUCAAUGAAUUGGUCUGUUCGACCAUUUAAAUCUU